rnacentral:rRNA from 1 species
UCUGGUGGUCAUAGCGAGAGCAAAACACCCAGCCCCAUCCCGAACCUGGCCGUUAAGUGCCUUAGCGCUGAUGGUACUGCGUCUUAAGACGUGGGAGAGUAAGUCACCGCCAGAC